UAUGAAGCGUCUCUCACUUGGGCAGAAUUCCAUUUCUAUGGACACUACAAAAUUCUUUGUUUCUAGAUUGUUGUAUCUCUCGAUUCACAUCAACCUUCCGAGGCAUUCUUGUCGGUUCCUUCCAGUUUCGUGUCAUAAUAUGGUAUUUUUCGCACUCUCUGUUUCUUGAUUUUUAUUUAUUUAUGUUUAUACCAUAAAAACCCUAAUUUAAUUCAGUUAAUUUACUCUGUAGUAUUGCAGAUUCUUUUUUUAUAAUGACUUUUGGGGUUUGUAUUCAUUGCCCAGUAGAAAGAGAUGCGGACAAAAAUCAUUCUCUCUUCCGAAUUUGCUAUCUCUAUCUUUUUCAUAUAUGUUCCAAUUAUUACACUCUACUUGUAUUUGUUAAUACAUGUAUAUAUCUAUCUAAGAAUACAAGUCUGUUAUGGGGGAAAAUUGUUAUCUUGAUUUCUACAUGGCUUUUGAGGAUUAACUAGAUAAAUCAUAGUUCUUAUUUCCAAAAUUUUAUUGCCGUAUGUCCUCAAUUGAAUUUCAUUUUUCAUUUAUUAUGUUAGU
rnacentral:lncRNA from 1 species